rnacentral:misc_RNA from 1 species
AAAGUCGUAACAAGGUUUCCGUAGGUGAACCUGCGGAAGGAUCAUUACAAAAAGUUGUUUCAUGCCCCUUAAAAAAGGGUAAGAAACUACCUUUUUUAACCCUAUGUUAUUUCUUGAUUUUGUUGCUUUGGUGGGUCGUAAAGUCCCUUUUUUAAAUAAAAGGGCUUUCCACUGGCCUUUUGGUUAGUGUGUUUUUUUUUACCCGCCAGAGGUAUUACCAAACUCUGAAUUUUUUUUUAACUUGUCUGAGUUUUUUAAAAAUAAAAUUAAAACUUUCAACAACGGAUCUCUUGGUUCUG